UACGGGGGGGGCAAGCGUUGUUCGGAAUUACUGAGCGUAAAGGGUUCGUAGGUGGCCUGCUAAGUCAGACGUGAAAUCCCUCAGCUUAACUGGGGAACUGCGUCUGAGACUGGUGGGCUUGAGUGCAGGAGAGGAACGCGGAAUUCCAGGUGUAGCGGUGAAAUGCGUAGAUAUCUGGAGGAACACCGGUGGCGAAGGCGGCGUCUGGACUGCUACUGACACUGAGGAACAAAAGCCAGGGGAGCAAACGGG
rnacentral:rRNA from 1 species